GCUGAUAUGGCUCAGCAGGUAGAGCACGUCCUUGGUAAGGACGAGGUCGCGGGUUCAAAUCCCGCUAUCAGCUCCA
rnacentral:tRNA from 1 species